rnacentral:rRNA from 1 species
CCUACGGGUGGCAGCAGUAGGGAAUAUUGCUCAAUGGGGGAAACCCUGACGCAGCAACGCCGCGUGGAGGAUGAAGGUUUUCGGAUUGUAAACUCCUUUUGUUAGAGAAGAUAAUGACGGUAUCUAACGAAUAAGCACCGGCUAACUCCGUGCCAGCAGCCGCGGUAAUACGGAGGGUGCAAGCGUUACUCGGAAUCACUGGGCGUAAAGAGCGCGUAGGCGGGAUAGCAAGUCAGAUGUGAAAUCCUAUGGCUUAACCAUAGAACUGCAUUUGAAACUGUGAGUCUAGAGUAUGGGAGAGGUAGGUGGAAUUCUUGGUGUAGGGGUGAAAUGCGUAGAGAUCGAGAGGAAGACUCAUGGCGAAGGCGACCUGCUAGAACAUAACUGACGCUGAGGCGCGAAAGCGUGGGGAGCAAACAGGAUUAGAUACCCCUGUAGUC